CCUACGGGAGGCAGCAGUAAGGGAUAUUGCGACAAUGGGCGAAAGCCUGACGCAGCAACGCCGCGUGUGGGAUGACGGCCUUCGGGUUGUAAACCACUUUUCGGGGGGAAGAGGAAGGACGGUACCCCCGGAAUAAGUCUCGGCUAACUACGUGCCAGCAGCCGCGGUAAAACGUAGGAGGCGAGCGUUAUCCGGAUUUACUGGGUGUAAAGCGCGUGCAGGCGGUAUCGUAAGUCGUGCGUGAAAGCUCCCGGCUCAACCGGGCGAGGACGUGCGGAACUGCGAUACUGGAGGUAGGUAGAGGCGUGUGGAAUUCCGGGUGUAGUGGUGAAAUGCGUAGAUAUCCGGAGGAACACCAGUGGCGAAGGCGACACGCUGGGCCUGACCUGACGCUAAGACGCGAAAGCAUGGGUAGCGAACGGGAUUAGAAACCCCGGUAGUCCAUGCCGUAAACGAUGCUGACUAGGUGUUGCGGGUAUAGAUUCCGGCAGUGCCGAAGCUAACGUGAUAAGUCAGCCACCUGGGGACUACGG
rnacentral:rRNA from 1 species